CCUACGGGCGGCUGCAGUGGGGAAUAUUGCACAAUGGGCGCAAGCCUGAUGCAGCCAUGCCGCGUGUGUGAAGAAGGCCUUCGGGUUGUAAAGCACUUUCAGCGGGGAGGAAGGCGUUAAGGUUAAUAACCUUGUCGAUUGACGUUACCCGCAGAAGAAGCACCGGCUAACUCCGUGCCAGCAGCCGCGGUAAUACGGAGGGUGCAAGCGUUAAUCGGAAUUACUGGGCGUAAAGCGCACGCAGGCGGUCUGUCAAGUCGGAUGUGAAAUCCCCGGGCUCAACCUGGGAACUGCAUUCGAAACUGGCAGGCUAGAGUCUGGUAGAGGGGGGUAGAAUUCCAGGUGUAGCGGUGAAAUGCGUAGAGAUCUGGAGGAAUACCGGUGGCGAAGGCGGCCCCCUGGACAAAGACUGACGCUCAGGUGCGAAAGCGUGGGGGGCAAACAGGAUUAGAUACCCUGGUAGUC
rnacentral:rRNA from 1 species